rnacentral:rRNA from 1 species
GGACUACCCGGGUAUCUAAUCCUGUUUGCUCCCCACGCUUUCGCACCUCAGCGUCAGUACCGGGCCAGUGAGCCGCCUUCGCCACUGGUGUUCUUCCGAAUAUCUACGAAUUUCACCUCUACACUCGGAGUUCCACUCACCUCUCCCGGACUCGAGCUCGCCAGUAUCAAAGGCAGUUCUGGAGUUGAGCUCCAGGAUUUCACCCCUGACUUAGCAAGCCGCCUACGUGCGCUUUACGCCCAGUGAUUCCGAGCAACGCUAGCCCCCUUCGUAUUACCGCGGCGGCUGGCAC